GAUGAACGCUAGCUACAGGCUUAACACAUGCAAGUCGAGGGGAAACGACAUCGUAAGCUUGCUUUUGAUGGGCGUCGACCGGCGCACGGGUUAGUAACGCGUAUCCAACCUGCCCAUCACUUGGGAAUAACCUUGCGAAAGUAAGACUAAUACCCAAUGAUAUCCCACGAAGGCAUCGGAAUGGGAUUCAAGAUUUAUCGGUGAUGGAUGGGGCUGCGUCUGAUUAGCUUGUUGGCGGGGUAACGGCCCACCAAGGCAACGAUCAGUAGGGGUUCUGAGAGGAAGGUCCCCCACAUUGGAACUGCGAAACGGUCCACUCUCCUACGGGAGAGAGGAGUGAGGAAUAUUGAUGAAUGGGAGAGAGCCUGAACCAGCCAAGUAGGGUGCAGGAAGACGGCGAUAGGGGUUGUAAACUGCUUUUAUAAGGGAAUAAAGUGGGUCACGUGUGACUUUUUGCAUGUACCUUAUGAAUAAGGACCGGCUAAUUCCGUG
rnacentral:rRNA from 1 species